GACGGAGGGGGCAAGCGUUGUCCGGACUCACUGGGCGUAAAGGGUGCGUAGGCGGUUGUGUGCGUCGGCGCUGAAAUCACGAGGCUUAACUUCGUGGCGCGUGCCGAUACGACACGACUUGAGGCUCUGAGAGGGUGGCGGAACUCCUGGUGUAGUGGUGAAAUGCGUAGAUAUCAAGAGGAACACCUGCGGCGAAGGCGGGUUGCUGGGCCGACACUGACGCUGAGGCGCGAAAGCCAGGGGAGCGAACGGG
rnacentral:rRNA from 1 species